rnacentral:rRNA from 1 species
GACGAACCACACAAACGUUAUUCGGAAUUACUGGGCUUAAAGGGUGCGUAGGCGGCGCGGAAAGUAGGGUGUGAAAUCCCUCAGCUCAACUGAGGAACUGCGCUCUAAACUACCGUGCCUUGAGGGAGAUAGAGGUGAGCGGAACUUAGGGUGGAGCGGUGAAAUGCGGUUGAUAUCCUAAGGAACACCGGUGGCGAAAGCGGCUCACUGGAUCGGUACUGACGCUGAGGUGCGAAAACGUGGGGAGCA